rnacentral:tRNA from 1 species
GGGCCCGUGGCAUAGACUGGUUAUUGCACCGCUCUGAUAAGGCGGGGGCCGAGUGUUCAAAUCACUCCGGGCCCACCA